UACAGAGGGGGCAAGCGUUGUUCGGAAUUACUGGGCGUAAAGGGCGCGUAGGUGGCCCGCUAAGUCGAACGUGAAAUCCCCGAGCUCAACUCGGGAACUGCGUCCGAUACUGGCGGGCUUGAAUCCGGGAGAGGGAUGCGGAAUUCCAGGUGUAGCGGUGAAAUGCGUAGAGAUUGGCAGGAACACCCAGGGGGAAACCAGUGGACUGGCACGGUGCUGACGCUCAGGUGCGAAAGCGUGGGGAGCGAACCGG
rnacentral:rRNA from 1 species